AUCACACUUUUAAAUAUAAAUGCCAUGUAAAUAAGAUUUUAAUACAAAUGAUGACCCACUUUUAAAUGGUUGCUUGCAGUUUUUAAGUGUGUUUAGGCUGCAGUGGGAAAAAUGAAGAUUUAUACAAGCCUAGCUUAACAUCUGGAAUAAAAGAAUUCUAGGUUGCCUUUUUGUAUUGAAAGUAUUUUUAUAUUGAAAAAAACAGAUUAGUAUCUUUGUUUUACCCAAGAACCACAAGCUACUUUGUUCCAACUUUUAAAUCAAGAUCUUGAAUAAUAGCAUGUGGUAUCACUACAUUUUAAAAAUACACUUAGUCAAUCACACACAUUUUCUAAGGAAUUGAAUUUUAUGGAGAUAAUUGAAUGCUUUCAUCUGUAACAGAAUUAGUGGCCUGCAAACCACUGUGGUUUCUUGCUGUGCUCUGAAGUUGUUAAAGGGGGAAUUUUCUGCUACAAGUUACAUGCAUAAAGGAAGUAUGAGGCAAAGGAAAAUUCACUUUUUAAAUUCUAAAAUGACAACCACUGACAAAAUGUUAUACCCUAAAAGUUAAACUACUUUUUCACUAAGCCACUGUUUUCCUGUCUCUUAUCAUUCCAGUAUCCAGGUGCUUAAAUUUAAUGGGCGUAGAAAAUCAAAUAUGUUAAUAAAGUCAAGCUAGAUUUGGUAAACUAGAUUUGGAGUUCAAAGUUCCUAGCGAAGUCUAUAUAACGUUUCAUAUGGUGCACUUUUCGUUUACCAAGAUGUGAACUUCAUUCUCUCCUCUGUGUCCUGAUUCCCACUUUUUCCAGUCUGCUCCUAGAAUCCACUGCAAUUAAAGAAACCUUAGAAAACUGCCUUAGAAUAUUUGAUUGAUUUGUUUUUAUAUUUUUUAAGAACCGAAAUCACAAAAGGGAGAGAUGUCUAAGAAUCUGGCUUGUUAUUACAUUCUUUAAAAGACCACCUUUGAAAGUGGGUGCAUAGUUUGUGUAUCCACUAUUCCCUAAUUUAUAUUUGUGUGAGUGUACUUUUUUCUAAUCAGUAUUACCACCAAGGAGCAACUAAUCUUCAAAUUUGCAAUUUACAUGAUUAGUGAUUGGCCCAAGAGGAGUAUUGAACAUAAAAUCCUUUAAGAUAAAACUGGGAAAUGGUGGAGGAUCUAUAUGAUUUAGUCUGGUUGUCUGGGUAUUUCUCAAUGGGGAAUAGCAGCAUCUUAAAGGCUGUUUAAGCAAGAAUGCUAAGGAUGGAAUGGUUGAAGAGAAUUGCCCUGUAAUGGUCAAAUUCCUCAGUUAUCUUGGAUG
rnacentral:lncRNA from 1 species